rnacentral:rRNA from 1 species
UACGAAGGGGGCGAGCGUUGUUCGGAAUCACUGGGCGUAAAGCGCACGUAGGCGGUGUCGUAAGUCGGGUGUGAAAUCCCUCGGCCUAACCGGGGAACUGCGCCCGAUACUGCGAUGCUUGAGGACCAGAGGGGUGCAUGGAAUUUCCGGUGGAGCGGUGAAAUGCGUAGAGAUCGGAAAGAACACCAACGGCGAAGGCGCUCUGCUGGGCCGACACUGACACUGAGAGACGAAAGCGAGGGGAGCGAAUGGG